UACAAGGAUGAGAAGCAUUCACAGACCUGAUCCGAUCCCCUAGGGGAACCGAGGACAACUUUUAUUGCCUAUUCUCUCUGAGU
rfam:Malassezia sympodialis ATCC 42132 genomic scaffold, msy_sf_9